GACGAACGCUGGCGGCAGGCUUAACACAUGCAAGUCGAGCGCCCCGCAAGGGGAGCGGCAGACGGGUGAGUAACGCGUGGGAAUCUACCCAUCUCUACGGAACAACUCCGGGAAACUGGAGCUAAUACCGUAUACGUCCUUCGGGAGAAAGAUUUAUCGGGGAUGGAUGAGCCCGCGUUGGAUUAGCUAGUUGGUGGGGUAAUGGCCUACCAAGGCGACGAUCCAUAGCUGGUCUGAGAGGAUGAUCAGCCACACUGGGACUGAGACACGGCCCAGACUCCUACGGGAGGCAGCAGUGGGGAAUAUUGGACAAUGGGCGCAAGCCUGAUCCAGCCAUGCCGCGUGAGUGAUGAAGGCCCUAGGGUUGUAAAGCUCUUUCAACGGUGAAGAUAAUGACGGUAACCGUAGAAGAAGCCCCGGCUAACUUCGUGCCAGCCGCCGCAGUAA
rnacentral:rRNA from 1 species